UUAACCCCAACCCUUAAACCAUAAUCCAUAAGCCUCUAACCCAAUCCCUUAAACCUUGAAUCGUAGAACAUAAAUAUAUAAACUAUAAACCCCUAAAUCCAAAACUUAUAAAUCAUAAACCCCUAACUCGUAACCUUUAACCCAUAUCCCCUAAACAUAUUGAAUCAUAAACCAUUAACUAUAAACCCUUAAACCCCUAACC
rnacentral:lncRNA from 1 species